UUUAGUAGAAAAACAUUAGAUUGAAGUUAUUGGAUUCAAUAUUCAGCAUUGCAUAGUUGCAUACAACUUAUUUCAGAAUUGCAAUUCAGUAAUGGCAGCUAAAUCUAUGCUUCAACAACGCAAAGAUUCAUGAACUUGGUGAAGCUACUUUGUCGUAUCAAACAACAAUGACACUGAUCGGAUACUCUUCAGAUCCAACGAUCAGGUAAUACAGCCCGUCAUCUAUUACCAUUGAACCAUCUUCAUUAGCUGUACUGAGAUGCUCACAAGGAUUAAGCUCAUAUUUUAUUUCAGCCUUCUCCUUAGCAUUCAACUUCACACUUUGGAAAGCAACCAACUGUUUCAGUGCCUUCCCAUUUCCAAGCUUUGCCUGUUUCACAAAAAACAACACUGGAUGCUUACCUGCCAUCGUCCCAAUGUUUUCAACUCCAAUGGUAACCCAGAACUUGCUCUUUUCACAGAGUUUUGUACCUAACUCUGAAACUAAUAUGUAGCUGUUGGGAUUUGAUUUUCUUUUGUAAAAAUAGAUAUUGUUUUUGGCAACAGAAAUGAACUUGUAUGAAUAGUUUGAGUAGCUGAGACCAUAACCAAAUUCGAAAACCUUUUUGCCUUCAUAGAAUCUGUAGCUGCGCCCAGGAUAACCCGAAGAUGGUUCAGGACGCAUUCUCAUGUCUGUCAUUGGCACUUUGGUAAAAUCUUGAGGAUACCAUGUCACUGGUAAUCUCCCUCCUGGAUUAUAGUCACCGAAUAUGAUUUCUGCCAGUGCAGUGCCCCCAGCUUCUCCUGGAUAACCUGCCCACAGAAUGCUAGCAAUGUUGUUAUUAUUUUUGGCAAAAGAUAUGUCUAUUGGACCUCCAGAAAGAAUAACCAAAACCACAGGCUUCUUUGCAGCUUUUGCAACUUCUGUGAUGAGUUCCUGUUGCUUCCCCGGAAGCACCAAGUCCAAGCGAUCUAAACCUUCCCUCUCUUGAGUCUGAUCCAAUCCCAUUAUUAAUACCACAUAGUCUACCAAUUUUGCAAUUUUUACAGCUUUGUCUAUAGAAGCUGAGGUACAUCCAGCUGUGCCACAGCCACGGUGAUGCCUUACGUUUUUAACAUAACUAUGCAACGCUUGCAGUGGUGUAACAAUAUUGCAAGGCGGACCUUCAUAGUUUCCUAGGAGGGUGUGUGGUUCGUCAGCAUUAUGGCCUAUAACAGCAAGAGACCUGGUUUUUGAUUUCCCAAGUGGGAGGAGUUUAACAGAGUUCUUUAGAAGGACAAUGCCCUCUCUGGCAGCCUCAAGUGCUAGAUCCUGAUGCUCUUUUGAGCAGACUUGGUCUGGACCAAUAUUUCCAUAGGGUAGUUUUAAUGGAUUGCCAUUGAAGAGGCCUAAUCUCAUCCUGACAGAGAAGAGGUUUCCAAGGGCUCUGUCUAUUUCUGAUUCUGCCAAUUUUUUCUGCUUUAUUGCUGAUUUGGUGUGGUUCAACAUAUAGUUCCCGCAGUCCACAUCCAUUCCAGCUUUCAAGACAUCUGCGAUCGCAUCCUCUGGUGAUUUUGCAUAUCCUUGCUCGUCAUGCAGCAAAGCAACAGAAUCACAGUCUGAUACAAUGUACCCCUGGAAACCCCACUUUCCUCUGGCUGUCUUAGACAAGAGAUUAUAAUCUGCACAAUUUGGGACUCCAUUAACGAGAUUAUAAGCGCACAUUAUCCCACUUGCUUUCCCUUCUUCUAUGCAACUAUGAAAUGGAGGCUGGAAAGUAUCCGCCAAAUCCUGCAACGUGACAUGAGCAUCAAACACAAACCGAUUCACGCCCUUCCAAUUAUCCAGGUCAUAAGCAGUGAAAUGCUUACAGCAAGCUGAAGCUUGAAGAUGC
rnacentral:misc_RNA from 1 species